AGAGUUUGAUCCUGGCUCAGAGCGAACGCUGGCGGCAGGCUUAACACAUGCAAGUCGAGCGGGCACCUUCGGGUGUCAGCGGCAGACGGGUGAGUAACACGUGGGAACGUGCCCUUUGGUUCGGAACAACUCCGGGAAACUGGAGCUAAUGCCGGAUACGCCCUUCGGGGGAAAGAUUUAUCGCCAAAGGAUCGGCCCGCGUCUGAUUAGCUAGUUGGUGGGGUAAUGGCCUACCAAGGCGACGAUCAGUAGCUGGUCUGAGAGGAUGAUCAGCCACACUGGGACUGAGACACGGCCCAGACUCCUACGGGAGGCAGCAGUGGGGAAUAUUGGACAAUGGGCGCAAGCCUGAUCCAGCCAUGCCGCGUGAGUGAUGAAGGCCUUAGGGUUGUAAAGCUCUUUCACCCACGACGAUAAUGACGGUAGUGGGAGAAGAAGCCCCGGCUAACUUCGUGCCAGCAGCCGCGGUAAUACGAAGGGGGCUAGCGUUGCUCGGAAUCACUGGGCGUAAAGGGCGCGUAGGCGGAUUGUUAAGUCAGAGGUGAAAGCCCAGGGCUCAACCCUGGAAUUGCCUUUGAUACUGGCAAUCUUGAGACCGGAAGAGGUUAGUGGAACUGCGAGUGUAGAGGUGAAAUUCGUAGAUAUUCGCAAGAACACCAGUGGCGAAGGCGGCUGACUGGUCCGGUUCUGNNNCUAGGCCGAAAGCGUGGGGAGCAAACAGGAUUAGAUACCCUAGUAGUCC
rnacentral:rRNA from 1 species